rnacentral:lncRNA from 1 species
CAAUUCCGCUGAACUCGGCCCGAAAAGCCCCCUCUUGCCUCAAUUCCCCGAAGUAAAUCUGAGCUUUGUGCAGCUCCGGAGCCAGAGCGUCCAGAUGCGGUCCGGGAGAUUAGCAAAGUCGGUGGAAGCCAAGCUGGAGAAAGCGCGGGCGCAGGGAGAAAAGUAGCCCCAAGUGCCCUGCAUUUGCUCUUCUAACAAAGUUCUGUUUGUUGACGGACUGACCGGCUUACCGACACAAAGAUGGGAAGCAAAUGGAGAGACGGAUCAAGGCCCUUCCUCGGCAUCUGGAGGAAGCUUGGGCGAGUGUCUUGGUCGCCAGAGCUCAGAGCUCUCCGCUGAACUCUUAUCUCCAACUUGGCAACUAGACCGCGAGCUUGCGAAGCAAGGAGAGGACAGGGAUGGUCACCUACCGAGAACCUCUGUGCUCCAGCGCUGGGCCUGGCAUGUUCCCCAUCCAUCAUCUCAUUUAAUUCCCAGGACAGCCCUUUGAGGUAGGGUUUACCAAAGGUGAAUGAAACAGAGCCUCGGGAAAUUGCCCAAGUUCACAUAGCCACGUGGCUGAGUGUUUGAAUCUGGAUCAGGCUGUCUGCAAAGUUUUUACCCUCAGCCCUAAUCCCCGCUGCCUAGGAGGGUAAGGAGGCUGUCUAGAGUGCAGGUUCAGGGGUCAGUAGGCCUGGGUUUAAAUUCCUACUUUGCCAUUUGUUAGCGGUGAAGUCUUAGGCCAAUGGCUUCAUGCUUUGGUCUUCAAUUUUCCCAUCUGUUAAAUGGGGAUAACAAUGGUACCUAAUCUGUGGGGGUUGCUUAGCCUGAUUGGUGCCCGCAGUGUAGUAAAUGGCCAAUAAAUGCUGUUAUCGUACUGGACCUUCUGAUUAUUUUCCUUUUGCCUCCCGUCCCUGCCUCAGCUCACACACUUCAGAUUCAGUAAUACUUGCUGAAUGAUUAAUUUUAAAACCAGACUGAGAGGGGAUGAAGGAGGUCUAUAAACUCAGGGAGGAGAGAGAGAGAGAAAAAUGCAGAUUUCUUCUUAAAAUCCCACCCUCCAGAACCAAGGACUGCCUGAGCCAUAUGACAGGAGUAAAUUUGGGACCAAAAAAAGGUGACCACUUUUUACAGGUCAGCCUAUAAACUUACAGAGUGGUCUCCAGAAACAUAUACUCAAUACGUGUGUAGAAAAAACUUUAAAAGCACAAGUUUUUAUUCAAGAAUAUUUACAGCAGAAUUGUUGAUAAUAGUGGAAAAUGAAAAGGAACCUAAAUGUCUAUGGUAAGGGUGUGUCCCUUGGUACCUUGACACACACACACACACACACACACACACACACACAAUCCUGACUUUGAAAACUCUUAUUCAUAGGAAAAUAUUCAUAACAAAAUAUGAAAUAAAAAAUGCUGGGUACAAAGUUGCAUAAAUAUGAUGCCAAGCUGCAAAGGGCACAAAGGGAACAAAAUUAAAUACUCACUAUGUUUCCAAUCAUGUAUGAAUAUGUACAGAAAGCGACAGUCUGGAAAAUACCAAAAUGAUAACAGUGCCAGUAGAGUGGUAGGAUUAUGAGUGAUUUUCUUCUCUUUUCCCCAUAUUAUGCAAUAUUAUUCUUAUAAGUAAAUAUGAGUUUAUAGUUAAUAAACUCCAUAAAUAUUAUGUUCCCACUUUUGUUAAAAUAUAUGUGCAUAGAAAAAAUAUCCAUAAUCUCACUACUCAAUUAUAAUCACUGUUAACACCAAAAAUUGUUAACGGUGAUUAUAAUUGAGUAGUGGGAUUAUGGAUAAUAUUUUUAUUUUGCUUUUCUUUUUCUGCAGUAUGAUUAUAUUACUUUCUUACAAUUAAAACAGAUUCAUAAUUUGAAAAGUACAUAAUCAGAGGGAUCCCACUUGGGUUAAGAGUAUGAAUGUAAAUUGAAAAAAAUGAGAAGGAAGAAUACUAAAAUAUUAAGAGUUUUAUAUUAGGUGGUAAGGAAUUAUGGGUAAUUUCCUCUCUAUUUUCUGUAAUCUGCUUUUAUUAUUUUUACAAUUAAAAUAAAAUGUACCUAAAAAUAACAUAUACAAUAUGAUCCCACUUUUGUUAAAAACGAAUAUGUAUAUAGAAAAAAAUAAUAAACUACUCCAAAAUGUAGUAGUCUCUGGGUGGUGAGUUUAUUAGUGAUUUUUGUUUUCUCUUUCAUACAUGAUUUCUUCAUAUGCCAAAUUUUCUACAGUCAUCAUGUAUUAAUUUUUUUAAAAAGUGUAAAGUACUUCGGUAAUGAAGUUUUUAUGGAAAAAAGAGCAUGUCUGGGAUUUGCUUUAAAACAUUCCAGUUGAGGGUGGGGGGAAAGUGGACAGGGGAUAUAGAUUAAAUAAGAUGAUAAUUGUUGAAGAUGGCUUCAUUAUAAUGUGUUUUUGUUUAUUUGUUUGUUUGUUUUGAGACAGGGUCUCACUCUGGCA